rnacentral:tRNA from 1 species
AAAUAAGAAGCGAUAAAUUGCCCCCAGUUUCGACCUGGUUUUAGGUGUAUACACCCUUAUUUA